rnacentral:rRNA from 1 species
CUAAUACGACUCUCGGCAACGGAUAUCUCGGCUCUCGCAUCGAUGAAGAACGUAGCGAAAUGCGAUACUUGGUGUGAAUUGCAGAAUCCCGUGAACCAUCGAGUCUUUGAACGCAAGUUGCGCCCCAAGCCUUCUGGCCGAGGGCACGUCUGCCUGGGUGUCACA